AUUGAACGCUGGCGGCAGGCCUAACACAUGCAAGUCGAACGAAGUCUUCGGACUUAGUGGCGCACGGGUGAGUAACACGUGGGAAUAUACCUUACGCUGGGGGAUAACAUCGGGAAACUGAUGCUAAUACCGCAUACGCCCUUCGGGGGAAAGAUUUAUCGGCGAAAGAUUAGCCCGCGUCCGAUUAGCUAGUUGGUGAGGUAAUGGCUCACCAAGGCUCCGAUCGGUAGCUGGUCUGAGAGGAUGACCAGCCACACUGGGACUGAGACACGGCCCAGACUCCUACGGGAGGCAGCAGUGGGGAAUAUUGGACAAUGGGCGCAAGCCUGAUCCAGCCAUGCCGCGUGAGUGAUGAAGGCCUUAGGGUUGUAAAGCUCUUUCACCCACGACGAUGAUGACGGUAGUGGGAGAAGAAGCCCCGGCUAACUUCGUGCCAGCCGCCGCGGUAA
rnacentral:rRNA from 1 species